AAUUUUGUCAAAACAUAUUAAUUUUGUGUGUUUUGGAUUGCUGGGAGUGUGUUUGCUGGAUUCUGGUUCAGAAACCAGCUCUCCUGAAAAAGAUUUAGUUGGUUGGGGAGAUAUACAGUAGUCACUGUUCUGCCUUUCCAUUGGUGUGGUAGAUGAAUGUAACAGAAGUUCACUAUUGCCAGGAAAGCAGGGUUUAGAAGUUCACUAUUGGAUCUUCUCUGCUCAUUAUUCAAAAAAUUGAUAAAUG
rnacentral:misc_RNA from 1 species